GACGACGCUGGCGGCGUGCCUAACACAUGCAAGUCGGGCGAGUGAAUCUCCUUCGGGAGUGAAGCUAGCGGUGGACGGGUGAGUAACACGUGGGCAACCUGCCUCAUAGAGGGGAAUAGCCUUUCGAAAGGAAGAUUAAUACCGCAUAAGAUUGUAGCUUCGCAUGAAGUAGCAAUUAAAGGAGCAAUCCGCUAUGAGAUGGGCCCGCGGCGCAUUAGCUAGUUGGUGAGGUAACGGCUCACCAAGGCGACGAUGCGUAGCCGACCUGAGAGGGUGAUCGGCCACAUUGGGACUGAGACACGGCCCAGACUCCUACGGGAGGCAGCAGUGGGGAAUAUUGCACAAUGGGGGAAACCCUGAUGCAGCAACGCCGCGUGAGUGAUGACGGCCUUCGGGUUGUAAAGCUCUGUCUUCAGGGACGAUAAUGACGGUACCUGAGGAGGAAGCCACGGCUAACUACGUG
rnacentral:rRNA from 1 species